CCGCAUAACAAUGGAUGACCCAUGUCAUUUAUUUGAAAGGGGCAAAUGCUCCACUACAAGAUGGACCUGCGUUGUAUUAGCUAGUAGGUGAGGUAACGGCUCACCUAGGCGACGAUACAUAGCCGACCUGAGAGGGUGAUCGGCCACACUGGGACUGAGACACGGCCCAGACUCCUACGGGAGGCAGCAGUAGGGAAUCUUCGGCAAUGGGGGCAACCCUGACCGAGCAACGCCGCGUGAGUGAAGAAGGUUUUCGGAUCGUAAAGCUCUGUUGUAAGUCAAGAACGAGUGUGAGAGUGGAAAGUUCACACUGUGACGGUAGCUUACCAGAAAGGGACGGCUAACUACGUGCCAGCAGCCGCGGUAAUACGUAGGUCCCGAGCGUUGUCCGGAUUUAUUGGGCGUAAAGCGAGCGCAGGCGGUUUGAUAAGUCUGAAGUUAAAGGCUGUGGCUCAACCAUAGUUCGCUUUGGAACUGUCAAACUUGAGUGCAGAAGGGGAGAGUGGAAUUCCAUGUGUAGCGGUGAAAUGCGUAGAUAUAUGGAGGAACACCGGUGGCGAA
rnacentral:rRNA from 1 species